rnacentral:lncRNA from 1 species
GUUGCUAGAUCAGAGAAGUAGUAUUCUGAGGAAUGGUUUCUUUUCAUAUAAUAAUCUAGUGUCGGCCUAUCUUUGCUUCCGAAUGAUGCAGGACGAGAAGAGAUAUGGGAUAAAUGGUAGAAAAUUAAAGAGAAGUGGGCGAACAAGAGAAGAAUAAGAUAAACCAGAGAUUUCUAUCAUAGGGUUAUGUCAUUUUUUUUGUGUGCAAGUUUCUGAAACAAAAUAAACAAAGUUUUAUUUAUAGAGUAGGGGGUCCUAAACAAGAUUUUCUAUUUUGUUCCAAUUACGUGCAGCUAUUGUAGUAGCUCCUAAAUCCUAGCUGCAUAUUAAAGUGACUUUUCUAUGUGCGGUGAAUCUCUAAAAUCCAAUGAAAUCAAGAAGUCUGCUUUGGUAGGGUAAUUCCAGAAUAACUUGGUUAUUUUGAUCCCUACUUAUCACAUUUU